rnacentral:lncRNA from 1 species
UGAGUUCUUGAUUAGAAUAAUUAUAUUAUAUGUAUGUAUAAUAUGUCAAAAUAUACUCUAAUAUCAUGUAUACAUUAAAAGAACAAAGGAAAAGAACAUCACUGGAAUUGAAAAGGGCAUGGUGAUACAAGCUAAUGGUACUAAGAACUUUUCAGUCGAAUAAUAGAAAAAAAUUUUUUAAACUUCAAGUAUUAGGUGAACAUUUAGGAGUCAUAUAGAACUAAACAUAUAAAAUAGCAAAAAAAUCUCUCUGACACAUCAUAAUCAAAAUGCCUAACAUAGUGAAUAAGAAUGGAAUUUUAAAACUGCAAGGAAAAAUGUCAGAGCCAGGCACAGUGGUACACCUGUAAUCCCAGGGGCUCAAGAGGCUGCUACUUCAAAUCUAGCCUUAGCAACUUAUCAAGGAACUAAGCAACUUAGAAAGACCCUGUCUCUAAAUAAGUUACAAAUAAUGGCUGAGAAUGUGGCUCAGUGGUUAAGUGCCUCUUAGUCCAAUCCCCAGUAGAGAGAGAGAGAGAGAGAGAGAGAGAGAGAGAGAGAGAGAGAAACAUGUCAGCACACAUUAGAGGUAAACCAGUGCAGACAACUCCUCAGUUCUUCACACCAUUUUAAAUCCAGGAAGGCAUAGAAUGAGGUUAUCUGAUCUCUGAAAGAAAAUUCCCAACCAAGAUCACUAUAUACAGCAAAACCAUCCUUUAGAAUCAAAUAAAAAAUAAAAACUUCCAAAAAUGAGAAUAUACUAAAAGAAUUCAUGACUACAAGGUAGCACUACAUAAAAUACUUAAAAAAAUACUAUCCAUAGAAGAAUUUAAAAAUAAUCUCAACUUGCCUCUAAUGUGGGCUGCCAUUUUUCUCUUUCAGCUUUUAAAAUUCUAUCUUUGUUCUGUGUAGUAGAUGGUUAAUUAUGAUGUGUCUUGGGAAGGAUGUUUUUUCAUCUUAUCUAUUUGGGGUUCAAAAUUCCUCUUGUAUUUGGAUUUCACUUCAUUCCUACAGUUUGGAAAACUUUUUGAUAUAGUUUCACUGAAAAUUUUAUACAUUUCUUUAGUUUGUGUCUUGGUGCCUUGUUCACAAAGAGUCUUAGAAUUGAGCUCUUAAUGCUAUCUCUGAUUUCUUGUAUAUUCUGGUCAUGAUUUGUUACCUUUCAUUUAUUGUUGACUUUGCUUUUAAAAUUGUAUACUUCAUCUUUGAUAUUAGAAAAUCUGCCUUAUGUGUGGUCUAAUAUAUUGGUGAUGCUUUCAGCUGAAUUUUUUAUUUGAUUUAUUAUUUCUGUUCCAGAAUUUGUUCUUUUCAAAAAUUUCUGUUUAUUUUAAUAUUAUAUCAUUUCUGGUAUAUUAUCUCUUAGUUCACUUCAUAGCUAUGCCUUUAGUACACUGAAAAAUUUAAUUAGCAGCUGUUUUAAUCAGCUUAUUUUGCUACUGUGAACUCAAGACCCAUCAAGAAAAAUAUUAGAGGAAGAAAACUUGAUUUGGGGGCCAACGGUUUCAGAGGUCUCAAUCAAUAGACAGCAGGCUCCCAUCCUCAGGGCUCAAGGUGAGACUACUCAUCAUUGCAAAGGGAAGCAGUUCACAUGAUGAACAAAAGGCAGAGAGAGCGGUCUCCACUUGCCAGAUACAAAUAUAUACCUCCAAACCAUGUCCUCAAUUCCCACCUCAACCAGCUACAACCCACCACUGCAGUUACUACUCAGUCAAUACCUAUUAAGGGAUUAAUUCACUGGUUAGUUAAGACUCUCACAACUCUAUUAUUUCUCCUCAGAACCUUCUUGCGUUUUCUCACACAUAAGAUUUUGGGGAACACUUCAUAUCCAAAUCAUACAUAAAUUUUCUAAAUUCUUUUUCUGGCAUUUCCUCCAUUAUGAUAUCAAUGGGAUUAGUUGUAUUGUGGGGUAUUCGGAAUGACUUGAUUCAUUGCUUUCCAUAUUGUUAGUAUUCCUUAAGGGAUAUUUAUCUCUUUUGCUUUUAUAUAAAGGACAUUUUCUUGUUAUGCUGUGGGUUGGGUGAAUGCCUUGAGGUCCACAUUUUCACUCAAUUUAAAUUUCCUAUUAUGUCUAGUCUCUAAGAGGACACUGAGAGGAGAGAGAUUAAUUUCAAGUAGUUACAACCACUUCAGAACAAUUUCAUACUCAUAAAUCUUUUAAAAACGUAUUACAAAUGUUCUCCAGAAAUCCACUAGUCUGAGUGGUAAAUGGGGGUGAUUUUAUUUAAUUGGUUGAUAAAUUAGUUA